rnacentral:lncRNA from 1 species
UCGUAUCUUCUUUUUUCAGGUUUCAUAAAUUUCUGCCAUUGUGGCGCGACCUCCUUUGGCUAGGCUGUUAGCUUAUUUCUAUAUUAUUGGCGAACCUAGGUACACAAAACAAAAAAAAAGGAACAAAGAGUCAGACAACCAAAAUUUGUAAAUGAAGGAGAUCAAUAUAAGCCAAACUCGAGGCAGAUCACCCGGUGGAAGAGAAGGCUAAGGUGGUGGGGGAUGCUCUUUCCUGUCCUCCUCUUGAUUCUAUAUACUAGAGAAAGAUGAAGCUGAGUUGCUUUUGUAUGAACCAACACAAAUACAUAAAUACGACCAUAAAAGGAAACCAAUUUGGUUCUUAUACCAAGUGACAUUGUAUCUGAACGAAAAGAAAAUAAGUGUCCCGUGCAUGCUUCCAUUUAGGGGUGAGCAAUUAAUCUAUUCGGUUGGCUUAAUUUAAAAAAAUUAAUAAUCGAUUUAAUUAAUUUUUAUUCAAUAAAUAAUUAAAACGAUCAAAAAUUUUUAAAAGGUUGAUCAUACUUGAAUCAAUCAAAAUUAGUUCAAUUUUGUUGAUUCAAUUAAAUAACUUAAUUUUUUAUUAUUUUUUUUAUUUUUCUUAUGAAUAAUUAUUUAAUUAUAAAUUCAAUUCAUUAAAACUCAAAUUCAAGUAUUAUUUAAAAUAAAUCACUAAAAAAUUAAAUAAUUUUAAUAAUAUUUUAUAAUAAAAAAUAAAAUAUUUAUAUAAAUUUUUUUAUUUUUACUUAUUAAAAAAUUGAUUAAUUGAGUUAGUUCAAUUAUCUAUUUUAAAAAUCAAAAAUCAAUCGAGUUAAUCAAUUUAAUUAAUUUAAAAAAUCAAUUAUAACCAAAAUCAAAUAAAUCAAAUUGAAUAAACUAAAUUUACUCAAUUUUGAUCAAUUUAAUUGAUUCAAAUAGAUUUUUGCUCACCUUUACUACCAUUUAUACAUUUAUCUUUUUCUCUAAUUAGUGUUUUAUAAUACUAAAUAUCUGGAAAAAUAGAUUACCCAUAAAUGAAUUGAAUAUGAAUGAAUUUAAAUAUAUUCAUAAAAUUUUUCAAUUAAUUAAUGAAUUUAAAAAUAUUUAUAAAUUUUUUUUAAAAUUUAAUAAACAAAUAUAAAUUAACAAAAAUUUAAUUUAUUCAGAGACUAUUCGUUUCUAUCAAAUUAUACGAAAACAAAAAUCAAUUAUUGCUUUGCGGGCAUUUCAAUACUUAAAAAUAAGGUUCAACUGUAGCAUACCAUUACCUUAAUAACUUCCCAGUGAGGUAACGAAGAACAGGGAUUGUUUCAACAGACUACCAAAUUGCCAAGCAAUUGGAAAUGGUUUACAAUUUCCCGAGAGGAACAGUUUUGAGGAGGCAACACUGAAUAUACAACAAGAUCAAAAGAUUACAUAAGAGGGAAAGAGAACGUACCUGGAAGUUGUUUGAGGAUUGCAUCCUAGCACCGUCAAUCGUUUGCUUCAAAGCCAAUAUGGGGAAAGAAGAAGCGGAGAUGGAAAGACAAUAAAACAGGAAACUUAGAUUCUAACUUUAUGCGAAAAAAUAUACCUUAUACCCCUGGAAUAUCCUAAUAUGCUUGGACCGCCCUCUUUAUAUUUAUGUAAAAAUGCAG